UUCUACGGGGGGCAGCAGUGGGGAAUAUUGCACAAUGGGCGAAAGCUGAUGCAGCGACGCCGCGUGAGGGAUGACGGCCUUCGGGUUGUAAACCUCUUUCAGUAGGGAAGAAGCGAAAGUGACGGUACCUGCAGAAGAAGCGCCGGCUAACUACGUGCCAGCAGCCGCGGUAAU
rnacentral:rRNA from 1 species